CCUACGGGAGGCAGCAGUGGGGAAUAUUGGACAAUGGGCGAAAGCCUGAUCCAGCAAUGCCGCGUGAGUGAUGAAGGCCUUAGGGUUGUAAAGCUCUUUUACCAGGGAUGAUAAUGACAGUACCUGGAGAAUAAGCUCCGGCUAACUCCGUGUCAGCAGCCGCGGUAAUACGGAGGGAGCUAGCGUUGUUCGGAAUUACUGGGCGUAAAGCGUACGUAGGCGGUUAUUCAAGUCAGAGGUGAAAGCCUGGAGCUCAACUCCAGAACUGCCUUUGAAACUAGAUAGCUAGAAUCUUGGAGAGGUGAGUGGAAUUCCGAGUGUAGAGGUGAAAUUCGUAGAUAUUCGGAAGAACACCAGUGGCGAAGGCGACUCACUGGACAAGUAUCGACGCUGAGGUACGAAAGCGUGGGGAGCAAACAGGAUUAGAUACCCUGGUAGUCCACGCCGUAAACGAUGAUAACUAGCUGUUCGGGCUCUACGAGCUUGAGUGGCGCAGCUACGACAUUAAGUUAGUCCGUCCGUCGGGAGGUACGGUCGCGAAGAAGUUAAAACUUAACUAAAUUAGAAGUUAGUUACGGCGUGAGACGUUGCCGAACGGACGACCGACCGAGGGGAGGUUAGG
rnacentral:rRNA from 1 species